rnacentral:sRNA from 1 species
GAAAGAGACUGGGUGAAUCCAAGUUAGUUACGGAUGACAUAAAAGAUACAAUCAACUUUGAUGAUCCAAUUAUCCACACUACAGCUAUCUGACCAACACGUUUCUGUUUCUCUUUAGACCACUCUCAUCUCCAGGAACCAGCUCUCUGUGGGCCACACAUGAUGUUUGACGAAGAUCGUUGCGAGUGUGUCUGUAAAACACCAUGUCCCAAAGAUCUAAUCCAGCACCCCAAAAACUGCAGUUGCUUUGAGUGCAAAGAAAGUCUGGAGACCUGCUGCCAGAAGCACAAGCUAUUUCACCCAGACACCUGCAGCUGUGAGGACAGAUGCCCCUUUCAUACCAGAACAUGUGCAAAUGGCAAAACAGCGUGUGCAAAGCAUUGCCGCUUUCCAAAGGAGAAAAGGGCUGCCCAGGGGCCCCACAGCCGGAAGAAUCCUUGAUUCAGUGUUCCAAGUUCCCUAUCCCUGUCAUUUUUAACAGCAUGCUGCUUUGCCAAGUUGCUGUCACUGUUUUUUUCCCAGGUGUUAAAAAAAAAUCCAUUUUACAAAGCACCACAGUGAAUCCAGACCAACCUUCCAUUCACACCAGCUGAGUCCC